AAGUCGUAACAAGGUUUCCGUAGGUGAACCUGCGGAAGGAUCAUUAUCGUGGGGCUCCGGCCCUAUCGAGAUAGAACCCUUGCCUUUUUUGAGUACCAUCCGUUUCCUCGGCAGGCUCGCCUGCCAAUGGGGACCCAAUCAAACCUUUGCAAUACCUGUAAUAGUCUGAUAAAACAAACAAAAAUCAAAACUUUCAACAACGGAUCUCUUGGUUCUG
rnacentral:misc_RNA from 1 species